rnacentral:tRNA from 1 species
GCCUGGGUGGCUCAGUCGGUUAAGCAUCUGACUUCGGCUCAGGUCACGAUCUCGCAGUUCGUGAGUUCGAGCCCCGCGUCGGGCU